rnacentral:rRNA from 1 species
GGGGAAUAUUGCGCAAUGGGGGCAACCCUGACGCAGCCAUGCCGCGUGAAUGAAGAAGGCCUUCGGGUUGUAAAGUUCUUUCGGUAGCGAGGAAGGCACUUAGUUUAAUAAACUAGGUGAUUGACGUUAACUACAGAAGAAGCACCGGCUAACUCCGUGCCAGCAGCCGCGGUAAUACGGAGGGUGCGAGCGUUAAUCGGAAUAACUGGGCGUAAAGGGCACGCAGGCGGUGACUUAAGUGAGGUGUGAAAGCCCCGGGCUUAACCUGGGAAUUGCAUUUCAUACUGGGUCGCUAGAGUACUUUAGGGAGGGGUAGAAUUCCACGUGUAGCGGUGAAAUGCGUAGAGAUGUGGAGGAAUACCGAAGGCGAAGGCAGCCCCUUGGGAAUGUACUGACGCUCAUGUGCGAAAGCGUGGGGAGCAAACAGGAUUAGAUACCCUGGUAGUCCACGCUGUAAACGAUGUCGAUUUGGGGGUUGAGCUUUGAGUUUGGCGCCCAUAGCUAACGUGAUAAAUCGACCGCCUGGGGAGUACGGCCGCAAGGUUA